CGCUCAACCGACUGAGCCACCCAGGCACCCCUGGAAAUGUUUUUUAAAAGUUUAUCUGUUGAAGGACCAAGACCGUUUGAUAUGUAGAGCUUCCUGCAGGCUGGAUUUUGCUGAUAUAUUCUCAUUGCAGAUAAAGGCAUGCAGAAAAGUUGAAAAGUUUGCUGUUCUGAAUGUCCACGUACUCGCCAGUAUGGAUGGAUAGAUGUGAUAGAACCAGUAGACCAAAAUGUUGACAACUGGGUCGUAUGUUAGCAGGAAGAUUCUCAGGUCAGCUUUGGCUCUGCACCGUGAUCAUUUACAGUAGAAACCAAAGCCCCUUCUGGGGACAUGCUUCUUUCAGAACGUGAGUGAUGGUGGAAUCAGGCAGUGCUUAGAAGUGGCACGGCGGCCUUCAGUCACAUUUCAUCGCCCAAG